CGGAUUGUAGGCUGAAACUCGCCUACAUGAAGCUGGAGUUACUAGUAAUCGCAGAUCAGAAUGCUGCGGUGAAUGCGUUCCCGGGUCUUGUACACACCGCCCGUCACACCACGGAAGUUGGGGGCGCCCGAAGCCACUUAGCUAACCCAUUUGGGAAGCGAGUGUCGAAGGUGAAAUCAAUAACUGGGGUGAAGUCGUAACAAGGUACC
rnacentral:rRNA from 1 species